GAGGGUAUAGCUCAGUGGUAGAGUGUCUGCUUAGCAUGUAUAAGGUCCUGGAUUCAAUCCCAGUACUCCA
rnacentral:tRNA from 1 species